CCUACGGGAGGCAGCAGUGAGGAAUAUUGGUCAAUGGACGAGAGUCUGAACCAGCCAAGUAGCGUGAAGGAUGACUGCCCUAUGGGUUGUAAACUUCUUUUAUCAAGGAAUAAAACGAGGCACGUGUGCCUUUUUGCAUGUACUUUAUGAAUAAGGAUCGGCUAACUCCGUGCCAGCAGCCGCGGUAAUACGGAGGGUCAGAGCGUUAUCAGGAUUUAUUGGUUUUAAAGUGAGCGUAGGUGGGUUGUUAAGUCAGUUGUGAAAGUUUGGGGCUUAACCGUAAAAUUGCAAUUGAUACUGGCAGUCUUGAGUACAGGUGAGGUAGGCGGAAUUCGUGGUGUAGCGGGGAAAUGCUUAGAUAUCACGAAGAACCCCGAUUGCGAAGGCAGCAUACUAAACUGUGACUGACAUUGAUGCUCGAAAGUGUGGGUAUCAAACAGGAUUAGAUACCCGGGUAGUC
rnacentral:rRNA from 1 species